rnacentral:rRNA from 1 species
CCCUUAGAUGUUCUGGGCCGCACGCGUGCUACACUGAGUGGAUCAGCGGGUCAGGUUGCGCGAAAGUGUUUCCUAAUCUUUAAAUCCGCUCGUGAUGGGGAUUGACGGUUGCAAUUUUCCGUCAUGAACGAGGAAUACCUUGUAAGCGCGGGUCAUCAUCCCGCGCUGAAUACGUCCCUGCCCUUUGUACACACCGCCCGUCGCUCCUACCGAUUGAGUGGUCCGGUGAGGCUUUGGGAUCUGAGCAGAAAGAGCGUUUCGCUGUUUCUGCUCGGAAAACUCAGUCGAACCUUAUCAUUUAGAGGAAGGAGAAGUCGUAACA